rnacentral:rRNA from 1 species
GAUGAACGCUGGCGGCGUGCCUAAUACAUGCAAGUCGAGCGAACGGACGAGAAGCUUGCUUCUCUGAUGUUAUCGGCGGACGGGUGAGUAACACGUGGAUAACCUACCUAUAAGACUGGGAUAACUUCGGGAAACCGGAGCUAAUACCGGAUAAUAUUUUGAACCGCAUGGUUCAAAAGUGAAAGACGGUCUUUCUGUCACUUAUAGAUGGAUCCGCGCUGCAUUAGCUAGUUGGUAAGGUAACGGCUUACCAAGGCAACGAUGCAUAGCCGACCUGAGAGGGUGAUCGGCCACACUGGAACUGAGAAACGGUCCAGACUCCUACGGGAGGCAGCAGUAGGGAAUCUUACGCAAUGGGCGAAAGCCUGACGGAGCAAAGCCGCGUGAGUGAUGAAGGUCUUCGGAUCGUAAAACUCUGUUAUUAGGGAAGAACAUAUGUGUAAGUAACUGUGCACAUCUUGACGGUACCUAAUCAGAAAGCCACGGCUAACUACGUG